UACGGAGGGAGCUAGCGUUGUUCGGAAUUACUGGGCGUAAAGCGCACGUAGGCGGCUUUGUAAGUUAGAGGUGAAAGCCCGGAGCUCAACUCCGGAAUUGCCUUUAAGACUGCAUCGCUUGAAUCCGGGAGAGGUGAGUGGAAUUCCGAGUGUAGAGGUGAAAUCGUAGAUAUUCGGAAGAACACCAGUGGCGAAGGCGGCUCACUGGACCGGGUAUUGACGCUGAGGUGCGAAAGCGUGGGGAGCAAACAGG
rnacentral:rRNA from 1 species